AAUAAAGCACGCGUCACGCUAGUUUCGGCGCCUAUAUUGCUGCCCUCAUACCGGCAACACUGGGGAGACGUCGCUCGAAGUCGUCGCUCGCAUGGGGUGCAACUUGUAGGCGACGAGCGAACGCGACAGCCAUCUCCAUCGCGUCGCUUGUCGCUGUCGCGUGCAAGAUCGCUUGCAUGGGGUUUAUACUUUACGAGUUUAUGCUGCAAACAGGUGUUGACCUGAGUACAACACUGCGACCACUCCUGCGUGCUGUUGCGAAGAAAGUAAUUGAAAACGCCCAGAAACGGCAUCUUGAGGCAUUUCUUGCGGACUUUAACAGUGGCUUGCAGGCUGCGACCGAGGACAAAAGAAAUGAUAUGAUAGACUGCUGAAAUUUCUUUGCUGCCCUGUCUCGUUAAGGAAUGCAAGGAAGCAUUUUUGACAACUGGAAGUGCACCUGAACUGUGAGCAGCAGAUAAGCUGACUGACCGGGGCACGUCAGUCACAUCUGGCGUCACACUGAAGUCUCCGAGUUCAGCCGAAGCACAAAGCGGUUGGACUUCGGGUCCACAAUCUCCUCAGUGACGUUGAAGUGGGGCAGGG